UCUUCCUUUAGCUAGAGUUUACAUUUUCUGUACCUUUAUUUCACUGUCAGUCUGUAGGAAAUAUAUUUUCUUCCUGAGUGUGUUUUUACGUUCUCAAGUGUCGCUAAGGAAGACACUAAAUCCAUACAACUGCUAUUCUGCCCUCCUACACUUCAACCCCUACGAGGAAGAAGCUCGGCUUAACAAUGGAUCCUCCCUCUGGGAUCAGCAAGAGUUCAGAAAAGCUUCCUGAACCGUGCAACUCUCAUGCGUUGCUAACUUUUAUUCAACAAAGAAAUGCUAGAGUGGGAUGUAUUCGUUUAAGACCCACUCCAAUCAUCUUUUGAACUUUGAGUUUCUUUUUUUUUUGCUUGCAAGAUGUGCCUCAUUUUUUACAAAGUUUGUCAAAGUUUUAAUUUUAACCCCGUAAAGCCUGUUACUUAAUAAAAUUGACAGAUUUUUUAAACUAAGAUGGUUUUGAAAACUUUAAUACUUCUCAAGCCGCAUUCAAUUUAUCCAACUCAAUUCUUUUAAAUCUUAACCCUCACCUAUUUUCUCUGGUGUUCCUCAAGGUUCUGUUCUCGGUCCCCUCCUCUUCAUUUCCUACCUACUACCCCUUGGCAGUAUAUUCCGUAAAUUCAGCAUUGAUUUUCAUUGUUUUCCGGAUGACACUCAACUCUAUCUGUCAAGUAAACCGAACUCCUCUCUUCCACCUUCCCUUCCUUUACUCCUUCCCGUCUGUCUGAAAUGAAAACCUGGUUCACCUCAAACGUCCUCAAACUUGACAGCGAUAAAACCGAAUUACUCCUUGUAGGUUCCAAAUCCUCCCUUUCCAAAGCUCCAAAUUUGAAACUUUCCAUCGAUUCCUCCACCCCUCAGGUAGAGUCUGGGUGUCAUCCUUGACAGCACAUUAUCCUUUCAAUCUCACAUCAAUAGCAUUUCAGUCAGACAACUCAUGCAGUAAAGAUUCAUUUCCAUAUUUCUUUUAGUUUGGCAUAAGGCUCCGUUCAGAUACAUAAAACAAAGAUCUCCAUAGAAAACUUUGGGUAUUAAACUACCCUUAAUGGCGUUCACAGGUGAAAGCCGGGUAGGAAGGUGGGAUGACGAACGCAGAGCUCGCGGAAAAGGAAGAAGAGGGAUUGGACCGCAUACCUGGAACUUAAGUAGGACGCUGAACAGGUGAGUUGGUUAGACUGAACCGCCCGCAGGGAGGAGUAACCAGGUAAACGCACUGCUCGAGUUGCCUGCCUGAAAUUCUCCCACGGUCGUUCAUUACUCGGUCUGCCUACUUUCAUCUACGCCAUAUUAACCGUCUCCGCCCCUCCCUCACCGUCCACUCCGCCUCCAUUUUUAGUUCAUCGUCUGGUCACUUCUCGCAUUGACUAUUGCAAUGCAUUUCUCUCUGGUCUUCCCAAGAAAACUCUUAAUAGACUUCAGUGGGUCCAGAAUUCAGCUGCCCGAAUUCAUCUUGACCAGAACUCCUUCCUGCCAUCACAUCACUCCUUUUCUCCAGCAGCUGCACUGGCUUCCAGUAGCAGUAAGGAUUCAAUUCAAACUUCUUCUCUACACGUUCAAAGCCCUCCAUAACCUGGCUCCCUCUUAUACUUCUAAUCUCCUCCAUAUAAACACUCCCUCUCGCUCUCUGGUCUUCUUCUUCCCUUCAGCUGCUCGGCUCCCAAACUCUGGAACUCUCUCCCCCCAGACCUCCGUAACAUUGACUCCUUUUCAAUUUUUAAAUCCAGACUGAAAACCCAUCUGUUUAAAUCUGCUUUCCCUGAUCACAAUUAUUCAUCUGAACUGAAGCACCCAUUUUGAAAAGGGCAGGAAAAGUCCUUUCUACUGCCUCUAGUGGAAUGAUGAAGAACUACAGGACAGAAAACGUCGACCAAGUUAUAUACAGUGAGCUUUUUAGACAGGUUUUAAUCAUGCUAAUAAGAUAGGGGUCUCAGACAUGCAUGUAUCAAAUAUGAUAUGAAUGGUUAUAGGGUUAAUCUUUUGCACACAAUCACACAAUCACUUUCCCCCUGACUCCGCCAACAUGUGCAAGUUCUAAACCUAAUCCCCUCAUCGAGGGAAUGAUCAGUUAACGUGUGUGUGUGUUGAGGACUGUCUAGCCCUGUGACCUUGCAAGUGCACGCAAUGAGGACACAGCAUGAGAGGGCAGGCCGGCGCAUUUGAGCUCACUUCCAAGCACACAGCUUUCUCUGACAACUGUGCGGAAUUGGUGCGUUCGCCAAAAGCGGAUUCAGUAAAUCGGCCGAUACAGCUCAUCACCGUCUUUGUCAUUUGCUGUGAGAGCAUAUCACAACAGACUCUGUUGCCACUCCGGUGCUUUCAUUUGUUAGCACAACAACAUUCCUGGGCUUUUUCCGAUAAACAUCAGAAACAACACCUUCAAGCAAAGUCUGGUGAAAGAAAGGCCCCAAAAGCGUCAAAACCAUUUCUCCAAUUCUCUUCCUUUUGUUUCCAACCUCUUUUUUAAUCGUCUUCCAUUACGUGACAGUUGCAAGUAAUUUGCAAAGCUGUCUAUUUAGCACUGCAUUUUAUUCUUAACAAUAAGCUUUGUUUUUUCUUCUCUUUUGUGUCUCCAGAGUAAAAGACGAAUAAGAACAGGAUGAGGUUUUUUUUGUAUCCCUGGGAAAUGAUUGGGGUUCAAAAUAACUUCAAGAGCACAAUGCACUGCAGGGAUGGCUGAGCUCUUUGAGGAUUCGACAGGCAGCAGUCAUGUGGCAUGCACAUGGAAAUAAGCUUUCACUGAUUUGCAGAGGUGGUUUGCCAGAGAUUUUUACACAAGAUGCCCUUCCUGACACAACCUGGCCUGGGGACCAUCACAGAAAGAUCCAGACUUGGGCCCCCUUGUAGCUACAUAGGAACAAGAGCCUUUCCUGGAUCACCUGAAGUCAGCAAGGUGACCGAAUCCUCCAUCCAGGCCUGCAGUGUCCUGUUCCUAAGCCAACACAGAUGUCGUACACCUGCCUCUUCAUUGGCGCACCUGUUUUUCCAUGCGUGGGUGUACGAUACUUACAUCAACUGUUGAGCUAGAAGUUCUUUUUCUUCUUUUAUUUGGUGAAACUCCUCAUUUAACGCUGUACAACAGAAACACAAAAAGAGUUUAUUGAUAAGAUGACAUGACAAAUGUUCAGCAACGCUGGUGUCCACACACCGGCAAUCCAAAGCUUGGACUCGGAGGACGAUACAGAAACAUUACAAUUUAAGAAUCAUGCAUGUAUAACUUUUUGUGUUCUCCCUGUUUCUUGUUAUGCACAUUCAAAGAGUUGAGACACAUCACUGUACAACCAUCCCAGAGUCAGAUAAUCAUUGCACUGCAUGUAAAAAUAAUUGUCUAGGUGAAAAAAAACACACACAAUAAAACUAAAAUGAGCUCAAUAGAUAAACUUUCAUUUUUCAACGACCUACAGCUAGGGAUGAGCAAACAGGCCUUCUUUAUUAUUUAUCCCUUUUCAAAUAAAAAAAGGAUCUUACAAUGCUCACUUUUAUGUUGUUGUUAAAAUAAAUUCAAUCAUAAAAUUUUUCAUUUAUAAAAUAAAUGGUGGUUCUUAAACAGGUCUGCUUUCCUUAAGUGCUCUGCUAAAAGACAGAAUGGUAGCGUCGGUCACACACACAUUCACACACUG